GGGUUGCUGCCAUGCGGGCCCUGGCCGUCAGUCGCAGAGAGAGAGAGAGAGGGAAGGGAAAGUGGGGCACGCGCGGGCCGGCCUGGUUGCUGGGCUUCGGCCAGGGAGCUGGUUGGGCCGAGCGCGGGGGAAACCAGGCGCGGUGCUGGCUGGGCUUCGGCCUAGUUCGAGGGGCUUCUCCGUUUUCAUUUUUAUUUUUUUUAAUUUUCUUUUCAAAGAGAAAUGUGAACAU
rnacentral:lncRNA from 1 species